AAGUCGUAACAAGGUUUCCGUAGGUGAACCUGCGGAAGGAUCAUUCAUAAGCGAGUGUUUUUAUGGCACUCUUUAAAAAAAUCCAUAUCCACCUUGUGUGCAUUGUUUAAAUUGUUUUGUGGCAUGCCGAAAAAGAAUUCGUUUUUUUUUGGGCUGCUCAAAGGAAUUUUUAUACAUCAACUAUUUUUUUUAACAACCUUUGUCUGAAAAAUAUUACGAAUUACUUAAUUCAAAAUACAACUUUUAACAACGGAUCUCUUGGCUCUC
rnacentral:misc_RNA from 1 species